rnacentral:rRNA from 1 species
UUGUGAAAGCCUACCGCUCAACGGGAGAACAGCAUCCGAUACUGCAUGGCUUGAGUGUGGGAGGGGAGAGUGGAACUUCUGGUGGAGCGGUGAAAUGCGUAGAUAUCAGAAGGAACGCCGGCGGCAAAAGCGGCUCUCUGGCCCACAACUGACGCUGAGUGUGCGAAAGCAAGGGGAGCAAACGGGAUUAGAUACCCCGGUAGUCCUAGCCGUAAACGAUGGGCACUAAGUAGAGGG